UACAGAGGUCUCAAGCGUUGUUCGGAAUUACUGGGCGUAAAGGGUGCGCAGGCCGCACGGGCAGUCAAAUGUGUAAUUCAGGGGCUCAACCCCUGCACUGCGCUUGAUACUUCCGUGCUCGAACCUUGGAGAGGAGUCUGGAAUUCUCGGUGUAGCAGUGAAAUGCGUGGAUAUCGAGAAGAACACUUAGGGCGAAGGCAAGACUCUGGACAAGUGUUGACGCUCAUGCACGAAGGCUAGGGUAGCGAACGGG
rnacentral:rRNA from 1 species